UACGAAGGGGGCUAGCGUUGUUCGGAAUUACUGGGCGUAAAGCGCGUGUAGGCGGGUCUGUAAGUUAGGGGUGAAAGCCCGGGGCUCAACUCCGGAAUUGCCUUUAAGACUGCAUCGCUAGAAUUGUGGAGAGGUAAGUGGAAUUCCGAGUGUAGAGGUGAAAUUCGUAGAUAUUCGGAAGAACACCAGUGGCGAAGGCGACUUACUGGACACAUAUUGACGCUGAGGUGUGAAAGCGUGGGGAGCAAACAGG
rnacentral:rRNA from 1 species